rnacentral:rRNA from 1 species
GGGAGGCAGCAGUGGGGAAUAUUGCACAAUGGGCGCAAGCCUGAUGCAGCAACGCCGCGUGAGGGACGACGGCCUUCGGGUUGUAAACCUCUUUUAGCAGGGAAGAAGCGAAAGUGACGGUACCUGCAGAAAAAGCGCCGGCUAACUACGUGCCAGCAGCCGCGGUAAUACGUAGGGCGCAAGCGUUAUCCGGAAUUAUUGGGCGUAAAGAGCUCGUAGGCGGUUUGUCGCGUCUGCUGUGAAAUCCGGAGGCUCAACCUCCGGCCUGCAGUGGGUACGGGCAGACUAGAGUGCGGUAGGGGAGAUUGGAAUUCCUGGUGUAGCGGUGGAAUGCGCAGAUAUCAGGAGGAACACCGAUGGCGAAGGCAGAUCUCUGGGCCGUAACUGACGCUGAGGAGCGAAAGGGUGGGGAGCAAACAGGCUUAGAUACCCUGGUAGUCCACCCCGUAAACGUUGGGAACUAGUUGUGGGGUCCAUUCCACGGAUUCCGUGACGCAGCUAACGCAUUAAGUUCCCCGCCUGGGGAGUACGGCCGCAAGGCUAAAACUCAAAGGAAUUGACGGGGACCCGCACAAGCGGCGGAGCAUGCGGAUUAAUUCGAUGCAACGCGAAGAACCUUACCAAGGCUUGACAUAUACGAGAACGGGCCAGAAAUGGUCAACUCUUUGGACACUCGUAAACAGGUGGNGCAUG